rnacentral:rRNA from 1 species
CCUACGGGAGGCAGCAGUAGGGAAUUUUCGUCAAUGGGCGCAAGCCUGAACGAGCGAUGCCGCGUGAGUGAAGAAGGCCUUCGGGUCGUAAAGCUCUGUUGCGGGGGAAAAAAGGCAGCAUCAGGAAAUGGGUGCUGACUGAUGGUGCCCCGCCAGAAAGUCACGGCUCACUACGUGCCAGCAGCCGCGGUAAUACGUGGGUGGCGAGCGUUAUCCGGAAGGAUUGGGCGUAAAGGGUGUGCAGGCGGUCCUGCAAGUCUGGCGUGAAACGCAUGAGCUCAACUCAUGCAGAGCUUUGGAAACUGGAGGACUGGAGAGCAGGAGAGGGCGGUGGAACUCCAGGUGUAGCGGUAAAAUGCGUAGAUAGAUGGAAGAACACCAGUGGCGAAGGCGGCCGCCUGGCCUGUUGCUGACGCUGAGGCACGAAAGCGUGGGGAGCAAAUAGGAUUAGAUACCCCAGUAGUC